GCUACCUAUCAUUGGACACGUAAGAAUUGGAGGCAAAGGAAUGUGAAUUUGGAGAAACCUAGGCCAGCUUGCUCUCUGCAGGCUCAAUAUCAACCAUACUACAUAA